GGCGCUGUGGAAUAGUUGGUUAAAGUGCCUGUCUUGUAAACAUGAGAUCUUAGGUUCCAGUCCCAGCGGUGCCU